rnacentral:misc_RNA from 1 species
GAUGAAGAACGUAGCGAAAUGCGAUAAGUAAUGUGAAUUGCAGAAUUCAGUGAAUCAUCGAAUCUUUGAACGCACAUUGCGCCCCCUGGUAUUCCGGGGGGCAUUCCUGUCCGAGCGUCAUUACAACCCUCAAGCUCAGCUUGGUGUUGGGCCCCGCCGCCCCGGCGGGCCCUAAAGUCAGUGGCGGUGCCGUCCGGCUCCGAGCGUAGUAAUUCUUCUCGCUCUGGAGGUCCGGUCGUGUGCUCGCCAGCAACCCCCAAUUUUUUUCAGGUUGACCUCGGAACAGGUAGGGAUACCCGCUGAAUUUAAGCGUAUCAGUAAGCGGAGGA